rnacentral:rRNA from 1 species
GAAUUCAACUCCUACGGGAGGCAGCAGUGGGGAAUAUUGCGCAAUGGGGGAAACCCUGACGCAGCAACGCCGCGUGGGUGAAGAAGGCCUUCGGGUCGUAAAGCCCUUUCGGACAGGACGAACGCUCCGCGGUGACAACCCGCGGAGUCUGACGGUACCGUAAGAAGAAGCACCGGCUAACUCCGUGCCAGCAGCCGCGGUAAUACGGAGGGUGCAAGCGUUGUUCGGAAUUACUGGGCGUAAAGCGCGUGUAGGCGGCCUUGCAAGCCAGACGUGAAAGCCCUCGGCUUAACCGGGGAAGUGCGUCUGGAACUGCUCGGCUCGAGUACGGGAGAGGGAGGCGGAAUUCCCAGUGUAGAGGUGAAAUUCGUAGAUAUUGGGAGGAACACCGGUGGCGAAAGCGGCCUCCUGGACCGAUACUGACGCUGAGACGCGAAAGCGUGGGGAGCAAACAGGAUUAGAAACCCGGGUAGUCCAGGCGUU